AGCCGAUGUAGCUCCACUGAUUAGGGCGCAGCCCUUUUGCGUUCCUCUAGUAAGAGCCAAUGGUCUUCCUUUACCCUCCAGAGUUUCUUGUACAAUCCGAUAAAUGUUCAAAGAACUAUUUACAUCACGGUUCCAUAGCCUUGAACAGUUCUUACAACUGAGAAGCCCAUGUCUCGUGAUUAUAGUAUCYUUUUUCCAUGGUUUAGGAUGGUUACAUUUUCGGAAUGUUUCACAUUCACCAUUACAAGCAAAGCAUGUACAACUCGUA
rnacentral:lncRNA from 1 species